rnacentral:rRNA from 1 species
AUGGGGAUCCACCUCCUGGCGUUCGCCUUCGUGCAGGUGUUCCAGGCCUCGGCGCCGCUGCUGUGGCCGCUCAACCUCUGGCUGCCCCGCCACCUCCCCCAGCUCUGCGCCGUCGUCUCCGGCGAGGUCGCCGCCCACGUCCCCCGGCUGCGCCGCGCGUACGCGAGCCGCCGUGACGACGACGACCGCCAGGGGCUGCUCUACACCGCGUACUGA